AGUCGUAACAAGGUUUCCGUAGGUGAACCUGCGGAAGGAUCAUUAACAAAUCCGUUGAGUGAAGAGGGUGUAGUGUUGUGGGUGUAGUGGUGAUAGAUAAUAUCUCACUAUGCCCGUGCUCUCACCCCCCCACUAACAUGAACCGGAUCUCCGAGAGGAGGUUCGCCUGUGAAUGGCCGUUGGCUGUUUGCAGAAAUAGGCUAUGCUUUGUAUGUCUUAUAACAACAUAAUCAAUCAUAAACAACUUUUAACAAUGGAUCUCUUGGCUCUU
rnacentral:misc_RNA from 1 species